UACAACUUUCAACAACGGAUCUCUUGGCUCUCGCAUCGAUGAAGAACGCAGCGAAAUGCGAUAAGUAAUGUGAAUUGCAGAAUUCAGUGAUCAUCGAUCUUGACGCA
rnacentral:rRNA from 1 species